AAACAAGAGAGUUUGAUCCUGGCUCAGGAUAAACGCUGGCGGCGCACAUAAGACAUGCAAGUCGAACGGACUUAACUCAUUCUUUUAGAUUGAGAGCGGUUAGUGGCGGACUGGUGAGUAACACGUAAGCAACCUGCCUAUUAGAGGGGAAUAACAGUGAGAAAUCAUUGCUAAUACCGCAUAAGCUAGAGACACCGCAUGGAGUAGCUAGAAAAGGAGAAAUCCGCUAAUAGAUGGGCUUGCGUCCGAUUAGCCAGUUGGUGGGGUAACGGCCUACCAAAGCGACGAUCGGUAGCCGAGCUGAGAGGCUCAACGGCCACAUUGGGACUGAGAUACGGCCCAGACUCCUACGGGAGGCAGCAGUCGGGAAUAUUGCGCAAUGGAGGAAACUCUGACGCAGUGACGCCGCGUAUAGGAAGAAGGUUUUCGGAUUGUAAACUAUUGUCGUUAGGGAAGAUACAAGACAGUACCUAAGGAGGAAGCCCCGGCUAACUAUGUGCCAGCAGCCGCGGUAAUACAUAGGGGGCAAGCGUUAUCCGGAUUUAUUGGGUGUAAAGGGUGCGUAGAUGGAGGAGCAAGUUGGUUGUGAAAUCCCUCGGCUCAACUGAGGAACUGCAACCAAAACUACUUCCCUUGAGUGUCGGAGAGGAAAGUGGAAUUCCUAGUGUAGCGGUGAAAUGCGUAGAUAUUAGGAGGAACACCAGUGGCGAAGGCGACUUUCUGGACGAUAACUGACAUUGAGGCACGAAAGUGUGGGGAGCAAACAGGAUUAGAUACCCUGGU
rnacentral:rRNA from 1 species